rnacentral:snoRNA from 1 species
AUUAUGAUGAGGACAGUCUCUGGAAACCCUUUGAACCUUUCCCAAGCUGAGUAUAAAGACUCCCUCGAUUUCUAUUUAAAAGCAACUAUCUCAUUUCUGAUCUU